rnacentral:rRNA from 1 species
AUACGGAGGGUGCAAGCGUUAAUCGGAAUUACUGGGCGUAAAGCGUGCGUAGGUGGUUUGUUAAGUCAGAUGUGAAAGCCCCGGGCUCAACCUGGGAACUGCAUUUGAAACUGGCAUACUAGAGUAUAGGAGAGGAAAGUGGAAUUUCAGGUGUAGCGGUGAAAUGCGUAGAUAUCUGAAGGAACAUCAAUGGCGAAGGCAGCUUUCUGGACUAAUACUGACACCGAGGUACGAAAGCGUGGGUAGCAAACAGGAUUAGAUACCCGAGUAGUCC